UACUUGACAUGAAGAUAUAAGUAUUUUAAACUGCUUGCUAUGACUUAAAAAUGAGGCUAGUGUUAUUAUGACAACUGAUGUCAUGUGACUCGGCUUCUAUCAAGGGGGAGGUGCUCAACAAUCAAUUAAGAGUAUGUUGUUAGCAGACUGCAGUUGCCAUCAUGGCUAGGUUUAGAAAAGGAAAAUAUAAAAAAGAAAACUACAUUUGGGCAAAGGUUGGUGGUACAAAGAAACUAGUUAAUGCAUUAGCUACACAUGGUGUGGGAAAAGGAAAGGCAAACUGGUCCACGCUAGCUGUGCACAUUUUUAACUCCCAUCCACCAAAUGCAAAAUUUGCAAAGUGGCUGCAAACUGUUUGGACAGAGGACAGGAGAGGAGUUCGAAGAGAGGUGCUUCAAACAGACAGAUGUUCUGAUAGGGAAAAUGUUGAGAAAGCUGAGGAAAUAGUUGAGGUGACUGAAGGGCACAGUGACACUAAGGAAAGAAAGGAUGAAAUCUAUCCUUGUGCCAGGGAAGAUGACAGGAACAGCACUGGUGAUAAAGAUGAACAAGAGAAUACUAACAACGAUGAUGUAAGUUCAGGACACAAUGAGCAGAAUGGUACAGAAGAGUGGAGGGAUGAGGAUUAUUCUUGUGACAGUGAAGAUGAGGCUGCAGACAGGAACAGUAACAGUGCAGAUGAAGAUGUGAAUAAUGAUGAGACAGCCACUGGAAACUGGAGGAAAACAUUAGAAAUUUAAAGUUACCAUAAAAACAAGAACCUGGAAAAAAAUAAAGCCACAUGCAGGCUCAACCCACUUACAAAAGCCCUGGACAGACAUCUUAUAUGAAGCAUUCACUAAAGUAAAUCCUUGCUGUGUGCUUUCAUUUAAGUAUCAGCAUGUAAAAUGUACCUUAUUUCAGGGCACUUGGUGUCUGUACCCUUGAUGACUGCUCAGCAAAAAAAAAAAAAAAAAAACACACCACUAGAUGAGAUUUUAGCAGGCAACAUUUCCAAAUGCCUUACAAUGGAUGUCUUAAGAGUUAUAUCUAGUGAAGUCAUGAAAAGCACAAGACUCCAUGAUGAUGUUAUCAUGGAGAUGAUGCUCUGCCAGAAGAUCAUGAAGGAGUGGAGUGGUACUGCCUCUCAAGUGGCAGGCUAUAUUCAACAUUUACAAGUGGACCCAUUUGGCGUCCACUUGUACACAGAUUGUGGUCUACAAAUACUGGCAGAAUGUUUGAAAAACUCACCCCCAGUCACAUUGCAUCUAGAUGCUAGAGACAGUGUCAUGCCACGUAUCCCCAACCAAAGCAAAAGAAUCCUUUAUUAUGCCCUUGUUCUCCCUGGGAAAGGAAAAGAUAAGCCACCCCUUCCUGUGUCCGAGUUCAUAUCAAAUGAGCACUCCAUACCAACUCUCACAUUCUGGCAGAUGGAAACACUGAGAUAACUGAACAAGAUAACAACACGGAAGGUCCACCAUGUUGAAACUGAUUUUAGUUGGGCACUCAUUGGUAGUGUCCUCCUGGCCUUCAAUAAAGAAAGUGUCUCAUCUUACAUAAACUGAGCGCAUCUACUUGUCAGCCAAAAAGUGAAAAAAGCAGAUACAGAAAAUUUCACAGUUAUCCAUCUAUGUUCAUCCCAUAUAAUAAAGGCUCUAACUCAAUCAUUUUCAAAGAAAAGUAGCGAGUAAGAAUAUGCCACUUACUGUUUUGGCCUUCUACUUAACAGCACCACCCUACAAGAAGCACUUAACAUCUUUCAGGAUAUGGCCAUGUUGUUCAUGUCUGCAAACAAUUCUGAUGCGGUUAUGUCAGCAAAGAACACACUGGACCAAAAAAUCCUUAAGUCCCAGCCUACUAAUGUGGAAGACACACUUCCACCAUAUGUAAAAGAUAUGGAUAGCAGCAGCAACAUCAAGACUAUAUGUGGCAAAUCUCCCUUCACACAGUUAUUCAAUGGUGUUCUGGAGAAGACCAAGUGCACACAACCAGGAAGUGGGGAAAAAAAUGAAUUCUACUGCCCAGGGAUCAUCAAUGUUCUCAUGAGCACAUACAUGGGCAUUUUCCCUCUUUGGAGUGGCUUACUGCUUGCAGACCUGAGUAGACACUCUAAAGAGAGUAUUAAAGAAAUAAAAACACGGGAAACAAAUUGCCAUGUAGAACAGUGGUUCUCAGUCGUUAAGAAUCACAUACUACAAAGAAAGAGGUUCCUGCGGCCUGCAGAUUUAAUCUCAAAGAUGUUCAACUCUCUGCAAGGAAGGUACAAACAGCAUCAGAUGAUGUAUAAUAUUGAUAGCCUGUCUCAAGAUGCACCUUCAAAGCAAAAGACAAUUGAUCAGCAAGAGGAGCAAUGGGCCAAAAGAUCUGAAAGACCUGCAAAACAUCGUUUCAAGUAUUUUGAUCCACCAGAAGCUGUGCCACAACCAAAAAAGUCGUUGUUUACAUUAACUCAAACUACCUUUAAUAUUAUAUUUAAAUAUCUAUUUGCUGAUCCAAGCCUUGUGGUCCAAGAAAGCAUGCGAGAUAGUCAUUGCUGUAACACAGUCAAAUGACAAAAAAAGGUCUUAUAUCUUGCAUCAUUCUGUAAUGAGGACUGACUCGGUUGUGGGUUUGAAUCCAUGUGCAGAGUUUUAUUAAGCACCACAGCACAAACAGAGGCAAACGGAGAGCAGAUAUCGUGGUCAAUAAGCAGGCAAAGGGUCGCAAACAAUAGUGGCAGUCCAGAUAGCAAACACAUCCAAAUCAGUAAUCCAAAAGACGAGGUCAAAGGCAGGUAAAAGACAAGCAAACAAUCCGUGACUAUGAAAUACGCUUGGUAGAGACAGGGUAAACUGGCAAUACUUCGCAACAUAAUGCACAAACAACAUGGCUUAAAACAGGUGCAGGCAGGAAGUGAUGAGAGAAGAAGCGGCAGUGUUCAGUAUUCGGGAGACAGCUCCCUCUGGCGGUUGGAUGAAUGAAUGUCGGAUGCAGAUGUUACACAUUCAGAGCUGAAAACACUCCAGCCACAUAAAUGGCUGGUGGGGGAGACAAUCCGAUGCUAUUUUCAAGUGUUGGUGAACAACAGCGAACAGGGAAAUAAAAUUUACAUACUUGAUCACUACACAGCGGGAAUUAUAAUUCAUGGUGAAAGAGAUCAAGUCCGGAGAAAAAGCCCCUCAAAGGUGAACUUUGAUGACUAUGAUGGACUGAUUAGCUUCCUGAAUGUCAAUGGGAGCCAUUGGGUAUUUCCGUAUGUCCAUGCAGCAUCCAGCCAUGUGUUUGUGGUAGACCUUGCGGGACAUGAUGAAAAGGCCAAAUCCAUGCAUGCCGCCUGCAGAUUUAGUACUGUUGAGGAAAAUCACCAUGGCAUUAUUCAUCCUAGAGGCAGAUACAAAACAUUCAUGCCCCACAACCACUCCGAAAGCCAUGCAACAUCCUCAACACCUGCAGCAGACGCCACUUUAACCGCAUGGCGCCGCGUGAGUGAACCCAAUACCUGCGCACUUUGGGCCGUCAUGUUUCCCUGAUAAAACAGGUAGCACGAGGCCCCAAAGGCAAACACAAGAAAAUAAAAAAAAUAAAAAUAAAAGAAACCAAACAGAAAAAAAAGACAGAAAAAGAAAGACUCACUCGAGUAAAUCCACCCACGCUCUCAACCGUCCACUCGCACCCAACACUCAUGCCGGAAACAGAGAGAGAGAGAGAGACUCUCUCCUGGACAUAGUACUAUAGUUAAAAAAUCUCCCCUGAAUAACAAAAAACACUACCUUAUCUUGUCUUAUCUAGAUGGCUAAAGAAGUUGUAGCUGAUUUACACAUCCAAGCAGCAUAUGGAAGAUGUGCGACUGAGAAUGGCUUAGGAAAUUCUGCAAGCCUCAGUAUUCAAGAGAGGACAUUACUGUUCUGCUUGUGCUGCCUCAAAACCCCCUUGUGGAGGUGCAAAAACGGUUUGGGGCUUCCACAGCACAUUCAAAGCAGGCCUUUCCUUACCUGGCAGCGGAGACACCAUGAUCAAGAAGGCGGUUCACCCAGGGCGAGGCUCGUUCAUUGCACUCCGGCCGUGCUGAUCCCUGCAAUUCAUCAUGUCACUCCUCUUCACAUCGUGCCUAACCACAGCCCUUAGCUGUUAUAAAUUGACAGUAAACCACAGCUUAUUGCCUUAAGCAUUAUUUGAUGUGGCAAUUAAUUUGAAGCUUAUAUAUAAGCUGUGCUUUACUGUGAAUUUAUAAAAGCUAAAAUAUACUGUAUAUGUGUGUGUGUGUGUAUUUAUAUAUAUAUAAUAUUACUAAUCAAUUUGAUAAGAUUAGAUAUUUUAUUAUUAUUAUUAUUAUUAUAUAUUUUUUUCAGAUCGAAUGUCAUCAAUGCAAGAGGUGGUUCCAUGUGACAUGCAUUCAAAUGACAGAGAGACAGUUUAACAGGGCUCAAAAGAGUGAUUGGAAAUGCUGCCUAUGCAAAUAAUUAAAAAAAUCCUGUGUAAAUGAUGUAUUAUAGUUAUUUUAUGUAAAAGUUAAGGUAUUUGUGGGGGUCUAGGGAUUGGGGGUGUUCCUGGGAAAUAUGAAAAUAUUGAAAAGAUAAUAAUUGAACAAUAAAAUUUAUGAAGUAU